CUUGGUUUUAACCAUUACAAUGACCUGCUCCUGCUUCACUAAUGGCUACAUGGACUGAGCAUAUCAACAUCUAUUUCCUAGCACCCAAGAUUUUCCCAUGAUGCUCCCUGCCCCUUCUGCAGAUCAGCAUCCCCUGGGUUGUCUUCCUAGCCUACACCAAGGGAUG